rnacentral:rRNA from 2 species
UGGGGAAUCUUGCGCAAUGGGCGAAAGCCUGACGCAGCGACGCCGCGUGGGGGAAGAAGGCCUUAGGGUUGUAAACCUCUUUCAGGUGGGACGAAGCCACUCGGGUUAAUAGCCCAGAGGGUGACGGUACCGCCAGAAGAAGCCCCGGCUAACUACGUGCCAGCAGCCGCGGUAAUACGUAGGGGGCAAGCGUUGUCCGGAUUUAUUGGGCGUAAAGAGCGUGUAGGCGGCCAGGUAGGUGGGUUGUGAAAACUGGAGGCUCAACCUUCAGACGUCGACCCAAACCCCCUGGCUAGAGUCCGGAAGAGGAGAGUGGAAUUCCUGGUGUAGCGGUGAAAUGCGCAGAUAUCAGGAAGAACACCCGUGGCGAAGGCGGCUCUCUGGGACGGUACUGACGCUGAGACGCGAAAGCGUGGGGAGCGAACA